rnacentral:rRNA from 1 species
UAGGGAAUUUUUCACAAUGAGCGAAAGCUUGAUGGAGCAAUGCCGCGUGAACGAUGAAGGUCUUUAAGAUUGUAAAGUUCUUUUAUUUGNGAAGAAGGACGNNANCAGCAGGUAAUGGCUAGAGUUUGACUGUACCAUUUUGAAUAAGUGACGACUAACUAUGUGCCAGCAGUCGCGGUAAUACCAUAGUUCGCAAGCGUUAUCCGGAUCUUUAUUUGGGGUAAAGCAACAACCGCAGGGGGAUUGAAAAGUCUGGUGUUAAAGGCAGCUGCUUAACAGUUGUAUGCAUUGGAAACUAUUAAUCUAGAGUGUGGUAGGGAGUUUUGGAAUUUCAUGUGGAGCGGUGAAAUGCGUAGAUAUAUGAAGGAACACCAGUGGCGAAGGCGAAAACUUAGGCCAUUACUGACGCUGAGGCUCGAAAGCGUGGGGAGCAAACAGGAUUAGAUACCCUGGUAGUCCACGCCGUAAACGAUGAGUGCUAGGUGUUGGGUCCUUUCCGGGACUCAGUGCCGCAGCUAACGCAUUAAGCACUCCGCCUGGGGAGUACGACCGCAAGGUUG